CUAGUAGAAAAAACCCCUGUUGCAGCGUACAUGUAUUAAUACGCUUCAACAAGCAGUUGGUCAACGCGGGUCAAACCCUUUAAAGGGUUGUUGCAGCGUACAAAUUAAUUGUUCCCUGCAAAAACGUUUGUUGCAGCGUACGUUGUAAAAGCCCCCUGCAAUAGCCCGUUACUGUUGCAGCGUACGUCCUAAAGCCCCCUGCAAUAACACAUUGUAAAAGUCUUUCGCUACAACCCAACCAGGUUUAGUUCAAUUUAGAUAAAAUUAAUUAAAAAAACUCUAGAUCUAAAAUUUCAUACUCCCACCUCUCAACUCCCUUCUUCUUCCCUCAGCUUUACUGCGUCGCAAUCAAUGUAACUUCCUCGUCGGUGGUUCUCGCCUCCUCGCCAGUCGCCGAUCUCCUCUACGGACCGGCAAACACCACACUCAGUGGCGGACGUGAGGGCAUACCCAGACGACCACGCACACUUCUUUUUCUCUCUCCUCUCACCUAUACCGGAAAAUAAAACCCUAGAAGUCAUGGGGAUGUUCCCGUGUUUCAAUUGCUCAAUAUUCUGACAAAUUCGUUCCAAAGUUAGCAGGUCAAGGAGGUUUCAGAAGAUUGGAGUUGGGGUUCCCAUCUUCUGCAAAAGAAAUGCAUUGAUUGAUUUUGAGGAAAGAACAAGCGCAAAUGAGAUUGUUGAUGUGGCUUCUAUUUUGGGGUUGGACCGUGAUAUUUCUGAUCAUGCUUUCCAGUUGUUUAGGGAUUGUUCUUCUGCUACUUGUUUGAGGAAUCGUAGUGUUGAAGCUCUUGCUACUGCUUGCCUCGUUCAGGCUAUUCGUGAGGCCCAGGAGCCCCGUACCCUUCAGGAAAUCUCAAUAGCGGCGAACCUCCCUCAGAAAGAGAUUGGAAAGUAUAUCAAGAUCCUGGGUGAAGCUCUACAACUCAGUCAACCAAUUAAUAGCAAUUCUAUAGCUGUACAUAUGCCUAGAUUUUGCAACCUUCUCCAGCUUAAUAAAUCCGCUCAGGUACUUGAAAACUCCUGCUGAUAUUUGCUAAUACGCAUCGGUGGCUGAUAUAAU